rnacentral:misc_RNA from 1 species
UAAUCUCGAAUUUUGCGUUGUAGCUAAAAAUAUCUUUUUAAGAUUCCGGUCAUCAAUUGCCGGUAGAAGUGACAGCCGGGUCCCGCGCAACGGACGACCGCGAACUCCGUCAGGCCCGGAAGGGAGCAGCGGUAACGGUUUUGGCCGUGUGCCGCGGGAGUGCCUGGCUGUCACUUGUACCGGUAAUUUUGUCUGGAGGCUG